UGUGUGUAUUUGACAAGGCAACAGAUACAUAUAACGGUGUCCUGUAUGGAAAGAUGUUUCCCCGCUGACAGUUAUCCAUUUUCACC